UCCUUCUCCGUCCCUCGAGAGCGUUCCCUAAGAAACAGUCUAUCAGCGACUACGGAUGCCUGAUUCUUUAACUUUAUUCGUUAUACUCACUGUUCGAUGAUGCUCGACGAUCCACGUAUCCUAAAAUUAUAACCAAAAGAGGUUCGUCACCCCAUCCUGUUUUUCUGGUACGUGGGGGUGCUACAGGUGGUUGCGCCGAUUUCACAGAGGAUGACGAUACAGGGCUUUCCAAAAGAUCAUCGUCUAGUUUCGAAUCUUCUUGUACGAUGUUCUGCGUCGAUCUCCUACCAAGACGAGGCAAAAGCUGAAAAUCAAUAUUUUUCUUUUAACUUAACCGCUCUGUUGUUACCAGCAAUCGAAUACAAGAAAUGUGUACAAUGGACAAGGGUGAAUAUUUAAAAACUUACUUUUUUCGAGGUAAUUUCUAAAUCCGCGGCCCAGUCCAUAAUUGUUCAUUGACUUUGAAUAUUAAGCUUAACUUAUUAUUAGAGGCAAAUAAAACCCGUGUUUGCGAGCAGUAACCAUAACAACUGAACGGCCUGCUGACUCGAGCGGUGAAUCGACUUUGUUCGUUCCUGCAUUCGCCUUGCUCCCCUCUUUCGUUCGGGAAGUAGCGCGAGAAACGUGACUGGAAACGCGCCAGUGGAACGGUCAAAACCGGUUCCAAGUACCCUUUGAUUAGAGCGCGUCUUUUUAAACGACAUAUUAAAAGGAUACUGUUUAGAAAUAAGCUGAAAUCGUAAUACGAAAGGUAUCUUGUAUCAUAGAUAUUGCAUCCUAAAGGAUAGCAGUUUAAUAAUGCUUGGUGUCAUCGAUUUGUCGUUGAUAUUCCUCGUCAUCAGGAUUCGCCUCACACGCGUUGUCAUUGUUUGGUGGUCUUACUCCGUUGUAUCUAUAAUUUCAAUCAUAUUGAUACCGCAUGAAGUAUGAAAGACGGGAAUUCGCGUCUCCGGUCCCCAAUCGUUGGAAAAUGAAAAAUGCGAAUUCGCCGAGUGUUAAUCGUAGAUAAUAUGCUUGUAAGUGAAAGACCUGGAAAAGUCACCCUUGCAAAGC